CGGGACUGGUGAGUAACGCGUGAGGAACCUGCCUUUCGGAGGGGGACAACAGUUGGAAACGACUGCUAAUACCGCAUGACGUAUCGGGAUCGCAUGGUCUUGAUACCAAAGAUUUUAUCGCCGAAAGAUGGCCUCGCGUCUGAUCAGCUAGUUGGUGGGGUAACGGCCUACCAAGGCGACGAUCAGUAGCCGGACUGAGAGGUUGGCCGGCCACAUUGGGACUGAGAUACGGCCCAGACUCCUACGGGAGGCAGCAG
rnacentral:rRNA from 1 species